CCUGUCACGUGGCUCGCCGGGGCGCGGCGGGAGGCGCGGUGUUCCGGCGCUCGGGUGCCGGGCGGCCGUGCCGCGUACGGUAGGCGCGGUGUAUUUUUGGGGUUGGAUUCGUGUUGAUUUCUGGGGGCUUGCGGGUGCGGCCGCUCCCCGAGAAGCGAGACCGUGCUGAGGACGUGGUUGUCUGUCCUUCCCCCGGGGAUGCCGUUGACUGCAGCCGUCUCAGGCUUGCGUGGCUUCUCUCUGCCCGGCGUUGCCAUCCUCGCAGCGCGGGGGCGAAAAGGGACACACAGAGCCCUUCCCGGCUGUGGACAGGAGCUGCCUCGGCUGAAGCUGGAGACGCCAACGAAAGGUGGAGGACGGCCUAGAGUCUGGAGCUGCAGAAGAGGCAGGGCGGAGAGGAGGGGAAAGAAGCAUCUGAACGGCUAAAUUGUGCCAGCAGCGCUGAGAGCGAGAGUCGCGGUGAGUCCUGGGCCACUGGGGCCCCGUUGCCUCUCUUGUGCGUCCUGGGCCCUCCCUGUCUCUCCCCCCUGGCCCCCUCUCUUUCCUUACCUGCUGCAAAAUUUUUUUUUUUUUUUUUUUGGCGCCCCCCCGCCCCUUCUUUCUCCAUCUCGCUCUGAGUGGCUCCCUGCCUCCCCGUCUUUUCAGUCCUCCCUCUCUCUGUCCUGUAGCCUGUGGCUACUUGUUCUUUCUCCGCCUCUCUCUGCCUGGCUCUGGCUCCGUUUUUAUUUUUUUAUUCCUCCUGCUCUGUUCUGUAGCCUGUCGGUAUUUUGUCUUUCUCUGGCCCUCUUGGUCUGACUCCGUGUGUUACCGAAAAACGCGGUAAAAUCGGAAACAACUCCUCAACGCCGAUUUAGUAUUAAAGAGCAGGCGUUCUUUAUUCACGGCGCCAGAUGCACGGGGGAUCGCUCCUCCUGGCGUGCGUACCUCACACACCUUU